rnacentral:rRNA from 1 species
GACGAACGCUGGCGGCGUGCUUAACACAUGCAAGUCGAACGGAAAGGCCCUGCUUUUGUGGGGUGCUCGAGUGGCGAACGGGUGAGUAACACGUGAGUAACCUGCCCUUGACUUUGGGAUAACUUCAGGAAACUGGGGCUAAUACCGGAUAGGAGCUCCUGCUGCAUGGUGGGGGUUGGAAAGUUUCGGCGGUUGGGGAUGGACUCGCGGCUUAUCAGCUUGUUGGUGGGGUAGUGGCUUACCAAGGCUUUGACGGGUAGCCGGCCUGAGAGGGUGACCGGCCACAUUGGGACUGAGAUACGGCCCAGACGCCUACGGGAGGCAGCAGUGGGGAAUAUUGCACAAUGGGCGGAAGCCUGAUGCAGCAACGCCGCGUGCGGGAUGACGGCCUUCGGGUUGUAAACCGCUUUCGCCUGGGACGAAGCGUGAGUGACGGUAAUGGGUAAAGAGGCACCGGCUAACUACG